GGCAGCGGGGGUGAUGGCUUGCCAUCACCUGCCGGCGACCGGCGCACGGGUGAGUAACACGUAUGCAACCUGCCCGCCACAGGGGGAUAAGCGGAAGAAAUUCCGUCUAAUACCGCGUGACGCGGCAUCGGGGCAUCCCGGUGCCGCCAAAGGGAUUACCGGUGGCGGAUGGGCAUGCGGCGCAUUAGCUAGUCGGCGGGGUAACGGCCCACCGAGGCGACGAUGCGUAGGGGUUCUGAGAGGAAGGUCCCCCACACUGGUACUGAGACACGGACCAGACUCCUACGGGAGGCAGCAGUGAGGAAUAUUGGUCAAUGGGCGCGAGCCUGAACCAGCCAAGUCGCGUGAGGGAUGACGGUCCUACGGAUUGUAAACCUCUUUUGCCGGGGAGCAAGCGUGCGUUCGUGAACGCGCGUCGAGAGUACCCGGAGAAAAAGCAUCGGCUAACUCCGUGCCAGCAGCCGCGGUAAUACGGAGGAUGCGAGCGUUAUCCGGAUUUAUUGGGUUUAAAGGGUGCGUAGGCGGGAUGCCAAGUCAGCGGUAAAAAUGCGGUGCUCAACGCCGUCGAGCCGUUGAAACUGGCGUUCUUGAGUGGGCGAGAAGUAUGCGGAAUGCGUGGUGUAGCGGUGAAAUGCAUAGAUAUCACGCAGAACUCCGAUUGCGAAGGCAGCAUACCGGCGCCCUACUGACGCUGAGGCACGAAAGCGUGGGUAUCGAACAGGAUUAGAUACCCUGGUAGUCCACGCAGUAAACGAUGAAUGCUAACUGUCCGGUGCGAAUGAGCGCUGGGCGGUACAGCGAAAGCGUUAAGCAUUCCACCUGGGGAGUACGCCGGCAACGGUGAAACUCAAAGGAAAUGACGGGGGCCCG
rnacentral:rRNA from 1 species